rnacentral:misc_RNA from 1 species
GCAGCGAAAUGCGAUAAGUAAUGUGAAUUGCAGAAUUCCGUGAAUCAUUAAAUCUUUGAACGCACAUUGCGCCCUCUGGUAUUCCUAAGGGCAUGCCUGUUUGAGAAUCAGUUUAAUCAUCAAACCUAGUGGGUAAAACCACUGGGGUUGGACCUGGGACUUGUCGAUAGACUGUCUCUAAUACCAUCUGUUGCGACUCUAUAGUGAGACUAUACGAAAAGCAUGACCAUUGAACGCAAGUUCUCUGAUUGCCUGUAGUAUCCUUGAGCUAUAGACUAGUACAAAAUUAAACACGAAGACUUUACCGUCUUUAAGACUUGAUCUCAAAUCAGACAAGACUACCCGCUGAACUUAA